GGUGGCCAGCGUUAGCCGGAUUUAUUGGUGCGAAAGCGAGCGCAGGGGGUUUUUUAAGGCUGAGGGAAGGGCCACGGCUGACCGAUAAGUCAUCGGAACUGGGAAAAUGAGACAGAACAGGGAGUGCAACUCCGAGUGUAGCGGUGACUGCGUAGAUAUAUGUAAGAACACCAGUGGUGAAGGCUGAUGUCGAACUGUAACUGAGGCUGAGGACGGAGCCGUGGUAGCCAAACGGGAUUAGAUACCCUGGCAGUCCAUGCCGUAAAACGAUGCCUGCUAGGGGGUGGGAGGGAUAUCCGCCCGUGUGUGCCGCGGCAAACCCCAUUAGGAAUUUCCGCCUGGGGGAAGUACGACCCCCGAGGUUUAAAACUCAAAGGAAUU
rnacentral:rRNA from 1 species